CAGAGCUUCGAUCUGGUGCCAGCACGACAAGGAAGCUUUUACAUAGCUCAACAAUCUGGGAUGUUCUUUGAUCUCAAGAAGCCUCGGACCGGGCGUAUGUCCACCUGGGUACCGAAACUUCCCGCCUCGGGAACGCCCAUGUAUGACUCGUUAUUUCAAAUGCUCAGCUCGGCAUACCCGCCGACGUCGGCUGCCACGGCACCGAGUACGCCUCCGCAUUUCGAACGCCUCAGCAUUUCGAAUCCGAAUACCCAUGAUGAAACUUCCUCCGUCUCUACAGAGACCUGAUGAUAAAACUGUUUUAUUUUCAAUGUUCUAGACUCUUGUUUUAUUUUCAAUGUUUCAUUGCAGUACUUUUGUGAAUACGUAUUGGAUUCAUGUUCGAAUCCAAGUUCAGCAUAUGUCAUACUGCUCUUAUGAACUGAACUCAGUGGCAGGGCCUUCUAAUUCUCGUGGUAAUAUGUUGCUCAGUAAAGUUGACUUGAUGUUUCAUGACAUUAGCAGUGAGGAAGUUUAAUAUUUAAGAAUAUGACUACAUAAGCAAUUACCAUCGCCCGACUUUUAGCACAAUUAAAAGCCGAUGGAUAUACAUAAUGGUGGCGCAGGGAAGUCCUAAUCUGAGAGCAUAUGCUCAUGAGAAAUGCGGUAUGCACUAGAAAGUACAUUGAAAUUUGGUUACUAAAUGACAUGAUAACUGAUUAUUGUUGGAUGAAAUAUGUUCACCGGACCCUACUCUUUAGAUAUUUGGUAAUUCAUAAUUAAAGCAGCUCAUAUGAGCUGGUAAAUCAUUUAGUAAAAGAAUAUCACAGCAAAUACUUUGUACCCUAACAUUGCUUUAUGUCCAUAUAAAGUGAGCUUGACUCAUUUAGCGUGAAACAAUACUCUCAGUAAAAUACCUAACACCGACUUGUGACACCUAAAGCUACACAUGAUAAAAUUUCUAUUCUCUGGUCUUCGAAACAGAUUUGGAACAGAAAUCCGUUUGGUAAUGUAAUUUGAUUUUUCUAUUUCUAGAACAAAUUUCUAUUCCAUAAAUUGAUUUGAAGGAGAAACCUGAAGUUAAAAUUUUUAACUUCUCAAAAUCCGUUUGGUAAUAUAAUUUGAUUUUUCUAUUUCUAGAACAAAUUUCUAUUCCAUAAAUUGAUUUGAAGGAGAAACCUGAAGUUAAAAUUUUUAACUUCUCAAUUUCUAGUAAGAAAUUAAUUUCCGUUCUAGAAAUUUUGUUGUGCGCACCAUAAAAGAUUAGGUUUGUUGACUUUUAGUCAAUUAAUGGAUUUGAGAACCUCUGCCCCAUAGAGGCAGGCAAAAGCAUUUGGAACAAUUCUGCUUGACACCUUUUUUCAUGUUUGUCGGUACCCGCUGACAACUUAAAACACAUGAAACCAAAAAUAUUGGCCCCGGAGGUUUCCGUGCAUUCUUUUUACCUUGUCGAUGCGCAUGCCACUUGCCGGCUGGAGAAGAUGACUCACUUGCAGUUCAGGUGCCUAAAGUAUUAAACAAAAACCAAACCAAAGAAUCCUUGCUUGUCAAGUUGGUUGACAGAUAAUGCAUUUGAAGGAUCCAUGAAGACCAUAUAGCCCAUAGAAAAUAUUAGGUACCCUAAGAGUGCCACACAAUUUUUGUUCUGAAUUAUUCAGAGCAUGACACAUGUCCAUCUCUCUUCCACAUCAUCCCACUCUCUCAUUUGUAGUCCCUCUUUGUUAAUGCUUUGACGCUCUCUCUCCUCUGCUCUCCUCUGUAGACGGUCUCUCUCCUCUCUCUCCUCUAUGUCUCUCGCUUCCAUCACCCCUCAUCAAGUGAAACGCGAUGCCAACGGCCCUCCACCUUUAAUGGUUGCCUCCGUUGCCCCCGACUUUGACGCCAACGCAGCCUCUGCCUCCUCUCUUGAACCCGACUCUGACACCAACACCCCUUUGCCUCCCUCUUGCUACCUCUAGUCCUCUCUCUCUCUCUCUCUCUCUCUCUCUCUCGUCCUCAAAGUCGCGUCUCUCUUCCAGCAAACCACAAUGCUGACGCCCCUCUGCCAGUUGCCUCCGUCGCCCUCGACUCAGACACCAACGCCUCUACCUCUGCUUCUGCCUCCACUUACGUGCCUAAUGCCAACGAACCCUUGCUCGCGUUUUGACCUUCCUCUCUGCAAACGAAGGUCGCUCUGCUCACUCUUUCUCUCUUUCCUCCACAAAGCACCCCUGCUCUUGAACGCGGACGCCGCCGACGCCGUUGCCUCCCACCAUUGCCUUCCCAAGCCCCACUGAUAGAGAGAUUGUCUGCAAUUUUGUUCUCAGCAAUUUUUUUUUCCCCGCAACGGAAGAGAGAACGGGGAGAGAGAUAGUUUGCAGAGGAGAGAGAGCGUUAGAGCAGUGGGCCAGGGACUAUGGAAGAGAAGAGAGAGUGGGAUGGCGUGGGAGAGAGACGAACAUGUGUCAUGCUUUGAAUGGUUUAGAGUAAAAAUUGGGUGGCACUCUUAGGGUACCUAAUAUUUUCUCAUCAUUCUAUACAACCACCUUGACACGAAUUAUGAGAGGGUAGAGUGGCUUGACAACCUCUGUAACACGAAGACGACAAGAAUGACUUUCAGACAACAACCUUGUUGCAGAGCCGGGCGACAACUCCAUACCUUCUCAACCCUCAGAUAUGUCCUAGCAUUCACUGGAUGGAAUAGUAGACAAUUGUGAUAUCAGCAUAUCAAUCCAACAAUUUCCGGUAAAAUCUUUACUUAGCGCCAAUCCAACUGUAUCUGCAGUAUCAGGACUCAUAACAAAUGAGGGGCCGUAGAAAUUUUACCUAUUCGGGGUACUGUUUCGCCAAAUUUCCCUCUCGACCGCUCCGCCAGAGCUUCGCAUUCUCUCUAAUGAAACAAAUCCCUCACUCCAAUACUCAUUGCGACAAUCUCCCUCCUCGUUCUACUAUCCUCAACAUCCCCAACUCUCUCCCAAACCAUAUCACACUCGUCCUCCAAUUUGCUCAAGUGUCUCCUCAAAUUCACCCGCUUUUGCAGCCAUCUUCUCAUUCUCCCUCUUCACUCUCAUCGCCUCAUCAACAAUCUCCUCUGACCCCCUAACGAACCCCUCUUUCUCUCUCAUCAAUUCCCUCAGCUCCUCGUACGUACCCCCGCCCGCAUUGUGUCCUCCUGCAAUUGCCGUUUUUCCAAUUUCACCGCCUUCAUCGCCACCUCCACCUCCUCGACACGCCCCUCCCCUCUCCUAAUCACAUCCAUACAUCUGAGAACCACCGAAACCUUCUCCAGCAAUCUCUUCGUGCAAUUCCAAUACUCGUGCCAUUUCACGUCCGACCGCUCCUCAAUUUUCUCCAAAUUCAGGCGUAGAAGGGGCUGAACUGGAAAAAGAAAAAACAAGGGGGGGCUUUCUAGUCUUUUCAGCCGAAAGAACCGGUUUCGGGUCGGUCGGUGGAUCCGGACCCGAUGAUUCCAAAAUAAAAAAGAAAACCCUGGAAGCCCUAGAGAAAUUGUCUCCAGUUCACACAGAUCCAGCAGGAGGAGAUGUCGACGAUCGGUCCAGAAGACGUGACAGAAGCGGAAGGAGGAGGAGGAGGAGAGAUGUCGAUGGUGGGUCCGGAAGAAGACAGGGAUCCGAUGAUAGCGGAGGCCGAGCGGUUCGUGGAGAACUACUACAGCACGUUCGACGCGAACAGGGAGGGCUUGGUGAACCUGUACCGGCAACGAUCGGUGCUGAUUUUCGGCGGCCGGAAGAUCCAGGGCAAGGAGGCUAUCCUCGCCAAACUCACCUCCCUUCCGCAGCCGUGCCACCACGAAAUCGCCGAGUUCGAGUGCAGGACCUAUCGCUUGGCACCCGCAUCGGUCGCCGUGUUCGUCGGGGUCCGCGGCGGGACGUGGGUAGGCGGCAAGAAGGAGGAGGCGGACGGCGCCCUUAUACAGCAGGUCUCUCUCUUUCUCUCUAAGUUAUUAUUUCUUGUCUACGCUUUGCAAUUUCUCUAUCGAUCAAUCCAUUAAUCAAUCGCAUCGCGCAUAAAUACCGAGAGUACGUCUCAAGCUCCUUGUCUAACGCUCUGGCUGGCUCUGAUUCUUACCUUCAGAGCUUCGAUCUGGUGCCAGCACGACAAGGAAGCUUUUACAUAGCUGAACAAUCUGGGAUGUUCUUUGAUCUCAAGAAGCCUCGGACCGGGCGUAUGUCAACCUGGGUACCGAAACUUCCCGCCUCGGGAACGCCCAUGUAUGCCUCGUUAUUUCAAAUGCUCAGCUCGGCAUACCCGCCGACGUCGGCUGCCACGGCACCGAGUACGCCUCCGCAUUUCGAACGCCUCAGCAUUUCGAAUCCGAAUACCCAUGAUGAAACUUCCUCCGUCUCUACAGAGACCUGAUGAUAAAACUGUUUUAUUUUCAAUGUUCUAGACUCUUGUUUUAUUUUCAAUGUUUCAGUGCAGUACUUUUGUGAAUAGGUAUUGGAUUCAUGUUCGAAUCCAAGUUCAGCAUAUGUUAGAGUCAGAUUGCAGUUAUGAACUCAGUGGUAGGGCCUUCUAAUUCUCGUGGUAAUGUGUUGCUCAGUAAAGUUGACUUGAUGUUUCAUGACAUUAGCGGUGAGGAAGUUUAAAAUUUAAGAAUAUGACUACAUAAGCAAUUACCAUCGCGCGACUUUUACCACAAUUAAAAGCCAGAUGGAUAUACAUAAUGGUGCGCAGGGAAGUCCUAAUCUGAGAGCAUAUGCUCAUGAGAAAUGCGGUAUGCACUAAGAAAGUGCAUUGAACUAAAUGACAUGAUAACUGAUUAUUGUUGGAUGAAAUAUGUUCACCGGACCCUACUCUUUAGAUAUUUGGUAAUUCAUAAUUAAAGCAGCUCAUAUGAGCUGGUAAAUCAUUUAGUAAAAGAAUAUCACAGAAAAUACUUCGUACCCUAACAUUGCUUUAUGUCCAUAUAAAGUGAGCUUGAAUUAUUUAGCGUGAAACAAUACUCUCAGUAAAAUACCUAACACUGACUUGUGACAUCUAAAGUUACGUAGGAUAAAAUUUCUAUUCUCUGUUCUUCUAAACAGGUUUAGAAUAGAAAUUCGUUUGGUAAUGUAAUUUGAUUUUUUUUAUUUCUAGAAUAAAUUUCUAUUCCAGAAAUUGAUUUGAAUGAGAAAUCAGAAGCUAAAAUUUUUAAUUUUUCAAUUUUUGGCCAAAAAUUGAUUUCCGUUCUAGAAAUUUAAUUUUGUCGUGUGCACACUAAAAGACUAGGUUUGUUGACUUUUAGUCAAUUAAUGGAUUUGAGAACCUCUGCCCCAUAGAGGCAGGCAAAAGCAUUUGGAACAAUUCUGCUUCACCUUUGCCAAGAAUCUCUACCCCCCUUGACACCUUUCUUCAUGUUUGCCGGUACCCGCUAACAACUUAAAACACAUGAAACCAAAAAUAUUGGCCCUGGAGGUUUCCGUAUUCUUUUUACCUUGUCGAUGUGCAUGCCACUUGCCGGCUGGAGAAGAUGACUCACUUUUAGUUGAGGUGCCUAAAGUAUUAAACAAAAACCAAACCAAAGAAUCAUUUGCUUGUCAAGUUGGCUGACAGAUAAUGCAUUUGAAGGAUCCAUGAAGACCAUAUAGCCCAUCAUUCUAUGAGAAAAUAUUAGGUACCCUAAGAGUGCCACGCAAUGUUUGCUUUGAAUUAUUCAGAGCAUGACACAUGUCCAUCUCUCUUUCACGUCAUCCCACUCUCUCUUCUAUAGUCCCUCUUUGACGCUCUCUCUCCUCUGCUCUCCUCUGUAGACGGUCUCUCUUCUCUCUCUCCUCUAUGUCUCUCGCUUCCAUCGCCCAUCAUCAAGCGAAACGCGACGCCGACGGCCCUCCACCUCAGCUAGUUGCCUCCAUUGCCCCCGACUUUGACGUCGAUGUCGACGUCAACGCAGCCUCUGCCUCCUCUCCUAAACCCGACUCUGACACCAACACCCCUCCGCCUCUCUCUUGCUACCUCUAGUCCCCACCCCCUCUCUCUCUCUCUCUCUCUCUCUCUCUCUCUCUCUCUCUCUCUCUCUCUCUCUUGUCCUCGAAGUCGCGUCUCUCUUCCAGCAAACCACAACACUGACACUCCUCCGCCAGUUGCCUCUGUUGCCCUCGACUCAGACACCAACGCCUCUACCUCCGCCUCCGCCUCCACUUAUGUGCCUAACGCCAACGAACCCUUGCUCGCGUUUUGACCUCCCUCUUUGCAAGCGAAGGUCGCUCUGCUCGCUCUUUCUCUCUUUCCUCCAUGAAGCACCCCUACUCUUGAACGCUGACACCGCCAACGCUGUUGCCUCCCACCAUUGCCUUCUCAAGCCACACUAAUAGAGAGAUUGUCUGCAAUUUUGUUCUCCGCAAUUUUGUUCUCUCCGCAACGGAACAGAGAACAGGGAGAGAGAGUUCGCAGAGGAGAGCAGAGGAGAGAGAGCGUUAGAGCAGUGGGCCAGGGACUAUGGAAGAGAGAGUGGGACGGCGUGGGAGAGAGACGGACAUGUGUCAUGCUCUGAAUGAUUUAGAGUAAAAAUUGGGUGGCACUCUUAGGGUACCAAAUAUUUUUUCAUCAUUCUAUACAACCACCUUGACACGAAUUAUGAGAGGGUAGAGUGGCUUGACAACCUUUGUAACACAAAGACGACAAGAAUGACUUUCGGACAAAAACCUCAACUCCAUACCUUCUCAACCCUCAGAUAUGUCCUAGCAUUCACUGGAUGGAAUAGUAGACAAUUGUGGUAUCAGCAUAUUAAUUUGACAAUUUGCGGUAAAAUCUUUACUUAGCUCCAAUCCAACUGUAUCUGCAGUAUCAGGACUCAUAACAAAUGAGGGGCCGUAGAAAUUUUACCUAUUCGGGGUACUGUUUCCCCAAAUUUCCCUCUCGACCGCUCCACCAGAGCUUCGCAUUCUCUCUAAUGAAACGAAUCCCUCACUCCAAUACUCAUUGCGACAAUCUCCCUCCUCGUUCUACUGUCCUCAACAUCCCCAGCUCUCUCCCAAACCAUAUCACACUCGUCCUCCAAUUUGCUCAAGGUCUCCUCAAAUUCACCCGCUUUUGCAGCCAUCUUCUCAUUCUCCCUCUUCACUCUCAUCGCCUCAUCAACAAUCUCCUCUGACCCCCUAACGAACCCCUCUUUCUCUCUCUUCAAUUCCCUCAGCUCCUCGUACGUACCCCGCCCGCAUUGUCUCCUCUUCCUGCAAUUGCCGUUUUUCCAAUUUCACCGCCUUCAUCGCCACCUCCACCUCCACCUCCACCUCCUCGACACGCCCCUCCCCUCUCCUAAUCACAUCCAUACAUCUGAGAACCACCGAAACCUUCUCCAGCAAUCACUUCGUGCAAUUCCAAUACUCGUGCCCUCUCACUUCCGACCGCUCCUCAAUUUUCUCCAAAUUCAGGCGAAGAAGGGGCUGAACUGGAAAAAGAAAAAACAAGGGGGGGCUUUCUAGUCUUUUCAGCCGACGGAGAACCGGUUUCGGGUAGGUCGGUGGAUCCGGACCCGAUGAUUCCAGAAUAAAAGAAAGAAAACCCUGGAAGCCCUAGAGAAAUUGUCUCCAGUUCACACAGAUCCAGGAGAGAUGUCGACGAUGGGUCCAGAAGAGGUGACAGAAGCGGAAGGAGGAGGAGGAGAGAUGUCGAUGAGGGGUCCGGAAGAAGACAGGGAUGCGAUGAUAGCGGAGGCCAAGCGGUUCGUGGAGAACUACUACAGCACGUUCGACGCGAACAGGGAGGGCUUGGUGAACCUGUACCGGCAACGAUCGGUGCUGAAAAUCGAGGGCCGGAAGAUCCAGGGCAAGGAGGCUAUCCUCGCCAAACUCAUCUCCCUUCCGCAGCCGUGCCACCACGAAUUCCCCGAGAUCAGUUGCUGCACCUAUCGCUUGGCACCCGCAUCGGCAUCGGUCGCCGUGCGCGUCCUGGUCCGCGGCGGGACGUGGUUAGGCGGCAAGAAGGAGGAGGCGGACGCCGCCCUUAUACAGCAGGUCUCUCUCGUUCUCUCUAAGUUAUUAUUUCUUGUCAACGCUUUGCAAUUUCUCUUAUCGAUCAAUCCGUUAAUCAAUCGCAUCGCGCAUAAAUACCGAGAGUACAUCUCAAGCUCCUUGUCUAACGCUCUGGCUGGCUCUGAUUCUUAACCUUCAGAGCUUCAAUCUGGUGCCAGCACGAGGAGGAAGCUUUUACAUAGCUCGACAAUCUGGGAUGCUCUUUGAUCUCAAGAAGCCUCGGUCCGGGGGUCUGUCCUACUGGCUACCGAAACCUCCCUGCUCGGCAGCGCCCUUUCUUGGCCCGUUAUAUCAAAUCCUAUCCUCGGCAUACCCGCCGACGUCGGCUGCCACGGCACCGAGUACGCCUCCGCAUUUCGAACGCCUCAGCAUUUCGAAUCCGAAUGCCACCCAUGAUGAAACUUCCUCCGUCUCUACAGAGACCUGAUGAUAAAACUGUUUUACUUUCAAUGUUCUAGACUCUUGUUUUAUUUUCAAUGUUUUGUUGCACUACUUUUGUGAAUACGUAUUGGAUUCAUGUUCGAAUCCAAGUUCAGCAUAUGUCAUACUGCUCUUAUGAACUGAACUCAGUGGCAGGGCCUUCUAAUUCUCGUGGUAAUAUACUUAAUGCUUCAUGACAUUAGCAGUGAGGAUGUUAAUAUGAUGGACAUACAUGAUGGUGGCGCAAUACCUCGCCCAUGCUUCUAGAGGAAAUAACUUUUCUUUUAACAUACAAGUUUUAUUUCAUGACUUUAAUAUAGUACAGAUAAUCAUGAGUUAAGAUAAAAAUAAAUAGGGAGCAAUUUACAUUUUGGCCGCCAUCGGCGAAAUGGAAGGUAGACAGAUGACUCUAGGACUAGAAUAUUAUAGUAAAUACUUUGUAUCCCUAGUAUUGUUUUAUGUCCGUAUAAAUUGAACCCGACUCAUUCAGCACGAAACACUCUCAAUAGAAUUCCUAACACCAACUCGCGACACCUAAAAGACUAGGAUUGCCGACUUAUAGUCAUCUGACAAAACCAGGAUUUGAGAACCUCUGCCCAUAUAGGCAAAGGCAUUUGGAACAAUUCUGACAAAAUCAGGAUUUGAGAACCUUUGCCCAUAUAGGCAAAAGCAUUCGACAAAACCCGGAUUUGAGAACCUCUGCCUAUAUAGGCAAAGGCAUUUGAAACAAUUAUGACAAAAUCAGGAUUUGAGAACCUCCGCCCAUAUAGGCAAAAGCAUUCAGAACAAUUCUACUUCACCUUGCCGAGAUCUCUCUCUCUCUCUCUCUCUCUCUCUCUCUCUCUCUCUCUCCUCAUGUCAGCCACUACCCGGUGACAACUUAAACACAUGGAACCAAAAAUAUUGGCCCCCGAGGUCUCCGUGAAUUCUUUCAACUUUGUUCAUGCGCAUACCACUUGCAGUUCAGGUGCCUAAAGUAUUAGAAAAAACCAAAUCAAAUAAUCCUUGCCAGUCAAACUGGCUGAUAGAUAAUGCACUUGAAGGAUCCAUGAAGACCCACGAAGACCAUAUAAACCAUCAUUCGAUAUUGCCUUGACACAAAUUAUGGGAGGGUAGAGUGGCUUGACAGCCUCUGCAACAGAAGGACGACAAUACUGACUUUCAGACAACCCACCUUUUAGCAAAGUUGGGCGACAACCAUGGACCUGCUCAGCCCUCAAAUAUGCCCUAGCACUCCUUGGAGUAGACAAUUGCCCAUCAAUGAAUGCACGAAAGAAGUGAUACUGUAAAACAAAUCGAGGACAAAAACUUCAUGAACAUUUACUGGCUCAACGUGGCUGUUUAUUAUUUUUCCACCGAUUUUAUUGAUAACUGUCAAGAUUGUUGAGAGAAACAACAACAAAUUCAGGUAGCGGGUGUAUCGGGGAGCACAUUACACAAUGGACUUGAUCAUUUUCAUCCUCUGCUGGAGGGGGGAGAUUUCUUAGCCUCAGAUGGUUUGUCGAUGCCACAAUCAUGUUUGUUACACUUUGUCCGGAAUGAAUAAUUUACGUUACUGCAUUGCUCACACUUCCAACUACUCUCUGGCAUUUUUGUUUUGAAAGUCACUUUAUAAAUGAGUACCAAUAUAGACGAAUACGAGGCAAGCAACACGGCCAGUAGUGAUAACUUACUAUAGUUCUUUUCAGAGUUUGAAACCUGCAGUUGAAGAGCAUAAAAAUCUGUUAAUUUAAACCAAUAAGCACUCUUCAGCUGAAACAAAUUGGCUAGAGCAAAGUUAUAGCUCCGGAAUACGAUAAACACAUGAAAGAAAGCCACAAAGUUUAAUCUCCUCAAGCUGCUAAAUUGUUUGCCAAAGCAACACCGACCCAUGAUUCAGGCUUUGGAGCAUUGCACUCUUCACACCGUUCUAAAAGAGAAGUAAACAUUUCCACAAUCCGGGCACGUCCGAUCAUUAUCGCGUGUUGCAUCUACAACGUAUUUCAAGGAAAUCUAAUGUCAGUUGGAGAUAAACCGGUAUUCUUAUUGUUAAUUCUAAAAGCAAUCACCAGCACAUGGAAUACCAACCUGCCCCCUUCUUUUGAAGUUUAUCACCGGGGAAAAAUCCCGGCCGUGGUCCCUGGGAGAAUAAAUGCCAAAACAAUGACAUGCAGAAUAUCUGAAAUAGUGAAAAGGAAAAAGCAGCAACAUCCAAAGACAGAGAAAUUUCACAUAGAUCAUGCCACCGAACCCAUCGGAAGCCCCAGCCAUAUCUGUCCAUCAUAGGAGGCAUCCCAUACAUUCCACCUGAACCGAAUCCCUUAUGGGUCGUUUUUGUCAUAUGUUUCUUUUUUAAUUAUUCUUUUGCCAUUUGUCUCGUGUGUUUUCUUGCACUGUUGGUAUAGGUAUGUAAUACAGAUGCUUCCCUUACUGUUGGUAUCUAGUCAUAUAUAGUUUAAUGAACGAAAUCUCAAAUAAUUGGUAAAUCAUUGAAGGAAUGAUGAUUAUAUUAUGUCGGUAGUCUAAUACGCAAUAUAAUAGUCGGCAAUAUGCACCCGCUAUUUUGGGAUAGUGAUCUAAAUUUUCAUAAUCUCAUAUUAUACAACUCGUGAUGUGCUAUAAUCUUGAUUUCAAAUUAUAUCAAUCAAUGCUCGAAUUUCAAAUGCAAUUACUAUUUCAACUAUGCUGUUAAUUAUGUAAUAAAAAUAAAUUUAAUAGCAUAUUAUAUGACUAAGUACAGCCUAUUACCUUAAAUUAUUUAUUUAAUUUUACAUACCGAAUAGCGAUUUUUUGAUGAUAUAUAUAGAGUACUACACUCGCGAUCGAUAUUAGGUAAUAACUACCGUGACAUAGUAUUUGCUUUGAUGCAAUCCCACGUCAUACGCUUAACUUUUGAUCAUAAUCAAUAACUAAAUUAUUAAAAGUAUAAAUAAACAUUUGAUAGAACAUAUUGUGUAUACAAUAAUUUAUAUACAAUAAUUUAUAUAGGAAGCUAAACUCAUGAGUCAAAAUUAAUUUUGAUAUUCCUUCAAAUCUUGAUUUUAGGGAAGUAUUUUUAGAUUUCUGUUCUAUUUGGACCUGGAAGAGUUUAAUCGAAACGGGAGUAGUCGCAGGUAGAAUGCUUCCUGAUGCGGCCUUUUUGGGUUUGGCCCGUUUUGGGUGGGUGGGGAGGGGCAGAGUCGUGACUGAGUUGAGCCGCUUAGGGGCUAUUUGGGCUCUACUUAUUAAUCAAUCAUCAGAGCAUGAGCCUCUGGACUCAUGAUCACCACGUAAGCAGAAACCAUCUCAAGACAGAAAGAAAACCAGAUAGAGCUUGACGACAUUAGCUCAUAUGUGAAAGAACAGAGUCUAAUCCCCAUCGGAGGUUCCAUUUUAGCCAGGAUAGAACUUAAGCUCAACAGGUUGACAUUUAGGCAAGAGAUGAAGGAGAUGAGCAACCAUCUGUGGUAAGGGCUUGCAAGAAGCAAGAGACUCCAAGGACAAAUGGAAAAAGGGGUACUAAAAAAUUAAGAGAAUAGUUGGCUAGGAAAGGUCUCAUGAUGAUAAGAGAGGACAUAGACUUCUCCUUAAGUAUCAUGCGGAAGAAGCUAAAUAAUAUAAAGUGGCACCUGAGAAUAGACUCUUAACUUUACAAGUGACAUUCUAUCAUUCAGACCACCUGCUGUUAACAGAGGAGGAUUUAACUGUAUCAUGACAUAGAACAAAACAAAGCUACAAAAGUAAGCUAGACAGCUCCAGAUCUACCUAUCAAGAUUUCAAACUCAAGCGACUCCUCGACAAUGUUUUCUAGAACUCGAUGAUUUUUCUGUAACAUUCCCUUUGCUUUGCGACAAGCCAAAUAGUACAUCUGCGAAACAAGGAUCCAUCAAAGAAUCUUGCACUCGACCAGAGAUUUGCGGCUCUUUCAAUUUGGACUAUUGAAUAAUAGUAAGCCAGACAAAGCCUCAUAGCAACGGACAAAUGCCUUUUCGACUUUAGCAUGGUUGUUCCCCAUGCUCAAAGCUGUAACCUAGAGAAAUAGAAACGUACAAACAGAAUUAAGGUAAAGCGCAUCAAAGAUUCCCAGCUGGAACAUGAAGCUUCAAUACAUAACAGCGUCGAGAAUGAUCCGCAUUUGUCCAUUUCACAAUCAUAAAGUGCAUGCAAAAUGGACCGGAGAAGUACUGCACUACUGUGAUAGUAAAUUGCAGGACUGUCUCCGCCGGUACUUGUGGAUUCAAUCGUGCAAGAAGGGGGGACACCAUUUGCUUCUCAUCAAGCCCCCAACCGUACUGAAUGACCAUUCCUGUCGCCAUCCGUCACAGGUUAUGUAUCUUAAUAUAUAUGUCUACAUGUAUUCACCUUUCGCUGUGAGAGUUUUCUCAUGAAAGGUAAUCUAAGGUAGAGAACAUCGACAAACUUCUCAAAGCAUAAUGUUACAGGACCAACCUCUUGAGUUUGCUUCAGUUCGGAAGAAGAGAGAAAAUUCUUCCCCGGGAGGAAGUAGAAGCUGUGAAGCAACAUCCAAACCAAAGCAAAAUACAAGCUACUUUUCAAGGUAUGAUCUUAGUUCUGAGUUAGCAUUAACAGAGCCUUCACUCCGUGCCUCGGUGAUCUUUGUACAGCCAAUUCCCUGCAAGAAAGGGGUCAAAGUGAACGUCUUUAUAAGACCAAGGGCUCUAAAAUCCCAUAAGGCAUGCAUCUGCAAAUAACUUCUCCUGCGAAGAGGAGAACAAGAACAACCCAGGACACAUGUGGAUACGCUCAAUGUAGCACAAUGAUUAAAUUAAAUCUGCCAAAAUGCUCCAAUGACAGAUAAAGCCAUAAAUAGACAUCUCACGUCAUUGUGUUCGACUGUUUUGAUAUCCCGUUUCAUAUUAAACUCUUGAUCCUUAGAUACGACGGCAAGGAUCAUGGCCAACAAAAGCAUGGGACUGAUUCACUGAGUGCCCAGAUAAAGAAGGUAAUUUAUCAUUUCAAUAGCAUGAAUGGAUGACAGUACCACUGAAUGAAAAGUUCGAUAACGAACAACAUGCCAAUGCACAUAGCUUGUAAAGUGCCAGAAGGAAAAAGCACAAAAAAGAUUGAAAUGGCGAGCUGACAUCCAUGAAGGAUGACAUUCCCUGUUCAGCAGUAGAACAGGACCCCUAAAAUAGGAAUAAGGCUCUUGCAGGUACUUGCUCAUAAGCUUAAUAAGGCGCAUGCUAUUUCAUUACAAGAAAGAAAAAGAGGACAAUAACCUGCCACGAAGAUGGUUCAAGCCACAAAUUGUCGACUACAUCAAAGUUUGAUAGUCAAAGAGCUAUAAGGCCAUGACCAGCUGCCCAAACAGCAUGAGGGAACUUGGUUUCCUCUGUCCACUUUCAAAUCAUCCAUAUUAUGCAAGUCGCCUCGAAGAAACCAACGGAACUUGUACGCAUAAUGAUAUCAUCGUUUGUUCGCCGGUCUGGGUAUAUCAAGUUAGCUAAAUUUUUAGAACAAUGAUUCGUAUCUGAUAACCCUACCACCUUCUAUUUUUAACCACUGAAUUUGUUGUACUCCCGAUUCUUUAGAGUGCGCAAAAAAUAAAACAGCAGAAAUUUAUAGAUUAGAAUUUUGUCAAUUUUUAGAAUUGUUCGGAAGACAAUAGCCCGGGAUAGUCCAACAAACUAAUAGUAAGCAUCAAGGAGAAUUAAUUGAGCAUAACUCCAUUGUUUAUUUGGCCGUACGGUUCAAUUAGAUCAACGACAUUCUGUGAGUCCUCCUCAGUCAAUGUCAGCCCCAGAUGAUUCACCAGCAUUCGGCUAAUCUGCCUCACAACUUUCGUUUGCCGAAUCCAUUUAGGAACCAUAUUGCUCAAGGCCUAUGCAAAAUAAUGAGCGAAUAAUAUGCAUAUGGUAUAAAAUAUAUCACAUAAUGGGUAACCGCUCCAACCUCCAAAACUUCCAUUUUUACUCUCCUCCGAGAAUGAGAUUAGAGCACAAAGUCCCGGUGCUUAUUGGUUUUAGCAAAGAGAAAAUGAUCGAUUCAAGCAGAACUGAAUUUUGCUUCCCCUUACUCUUCGUCAAUUAUAAUUUAUUUUCCCUUUCCGCUGAACAAAAGAAAAAGGGACAUGCAGCCAGUUCCAUGGACCCCCGGGAAUCGGAUCGGGCAAAUCCGAAUCCAAAGCCGAAUAGGUUGGUUCCCAAUUUCACAAACUAGGACCCAGCCCCGUCUGGUCAAGUUCCCGGUUCCGGAGUGGGCCAAUUUAGCUCAGAAUCUACCCAUAAUCGGGUUCAAACAGUUCAGAGAAAAUUCAAAAUAACUUGGAAUUACCACCGCUCAAAGUUAGAAAAUCAAUCGUCAAAAAAAGUUAAAAAAUCAACAUCCCACUGAGAACCUUUCAGAUCAUCAUGUAACGUCAACUGAAAAUACAUUAGAUCAGAUCUAACGUAUUGUCUUCACUGACAUGUGCCGACUUUUGCCAACAAAUUGGAAGACGUUUAAUCCCCUUAAUCCCCUCGAUUUCUUCCUCGAUUCAAAAAUCUUCAAUCGGAAUUUAACUUUAUCAAUUCGCAAAGUUUCCAAAUCCAAUGGGGUGUCGGAACUUGUUCGGAGGUCUUGUGAGCAUGCAUCAAUCCCCGUUAGAUAUCAGAAUGAGGAGUCCAACAAGAGAAUACAGCUGAAAUCCAAGCGCCUCAAUUCUCAAGUCAAAUAUAAGCUAUCCAGAACUGCAAAUCCACCAGCGACUCCACCUUCAUGUGAUGAUGAUAUCUUUGUUCUCAUUAAAUAACCACACUGUUCAUUUACGAUGACAUUCUCUUUCUUCCUGGUAAGAUCAAUCUCAGAUUACCAUGAGCACAUCAAAUGCAUUUACAAACAUUGUCGCUGAAUUCACUAGUGCUAACACGUGCGAACAACGGUGCUGUAGAAGGCAUGAAAUAAAUUAAAAAAAGAAGCUUUGGUUAUCAGAUUUUCCCAUCCGACUCCAACUGCAAAGAUUAAAUUCCAAGUCAUUGAUUUUAAUUAAUCCGAGAUCACAUCCAUCAAACUAAUGAGAGAUGGAGCGACAUCAAAAAAUUACCUCACAUAAGCACCAUAUACCCCGAGUUCUGACAUGGCGUGAUCUUUAUAACAAAUGCCAUCACGAAUGAGAGUUGUGGGAGAAAUGGACGGAAAAAUUCUUUGCAUAAGGAUAUAGGCAGCAUCCUCCUCACUACCUUCACGUUGCAGCCUUAAUAGGGUUUCUCUCACGUCGUCGCCAUAGAUGUUGUUCCCUAAAGAGAGAAAUGACUUCAUUUUAGAAAGAAGAUAGCGCGGCUUAUAACAAAGCAAUCCUUGAAUAAUAUAAUCAAGGUGAGAGAUAAUUACCUCCCCCUUCCCUCUGGGGCUUCAUGACAAAUAGCUCGGGACUUUCAAUUGCUUUACCAACAAUAUGAGGGUCUUCUAAGCUCCAUAAACCUGCAAAGGAUUUCUGGAUCUCGGCAAUGUCUUCUUUGUUCUCAAGGAAUCUGAUAUAUGCACCAAUGGAGUCUCGUAAGUGAUCAAACACGUAGGAGAUAGAGUCUAUUCGACAGUGCAUCUUCUCCUGUAAUUAAAUUGACUUCUAAUGUUCCCAUCGAUAUGUUAUCGAGACUGUUCGGUAAGACAUAUGAAAGGAGCUAAAAUGGCCAUUUGGUAUUAAAAGUAGUCCUUAAUUCGCAGUCCUGGGUGCCAUUGAUUACAUCUAAGCUUCAAACUCAACUAAACAUCAUCAUAUUAGCUAUUGUUGUAUGCAUAGCACACAUCUAUAUACAUUUGUGCUUCAGGAGUUUUUCCAGGAAUGGUACGAUUCCAUAUAAAGCACAGAGCAUCCAGCGCCGCUGCUGGUGGCGCUGUCCUGCCUUCCUCCAUAUCCGGGAGCCCCACCUCCUCCAGUACCGCCUCCAGUAGUGCCUGUGCCCGGGAUCGGUCCUCCUCCAACUCCUCCGCUGCCUGUCCUUCAUCCAUGGCAUCUGGUUCCGUACGGAAGACGGAAAAUACAAGGGUUGCUCCCUGCUGUGCUGUCAUUUGCAGAAUAAAACUCUAGAGCAAAACACAAAUCAGUAUUCUUCCUAUUCCCAAAAAAAAGACAGCAAAAGAAAAGAGAAUACAUGGUUGAAGUUGUAUGGUAGCACAACUUCCUCUUCCCUCCCAUACUGUCCACCAAAGGAGGCGUAGAUGCGUUGAGCGACGUGGUCAACGAACGCAUCGAACUCAUCCAAAUUGAACUUGAAACUAUCCAAGCCGUUCACAAAUGCAGCAAUGGCGUCUGGGGUCCCAAGACGGACCCCAUCAAAAUCCAUGCUCGCUUCAUCAUAAAAGCUUAUCAGCUCUUGCCUAUCUGUUUCCAAAGAAAGAUGGUAUAAUGUACCCCAUUCUGCCGCCAGGUCUUUGAGUCCUUCAUCAUCCAUACCUCUGUUCUGUUCAAGAACAACAGGUGCAACCAACAUACGCAUAAAGAAAAAAAGGAAAAAAAAAAUGGCAGAGCUCGACCUCAUUUCCACAUACUGACCUGUCGACGACGCUCGAAGGGAAAAAGACGGUGGAGCCUCACCGCGAUCGCCGUCCGACGUUUGCAGAGAUUCGACGACGAAAUGAGAGAGCGGGGCGGUAUUCUGUUUAGGAUGACCGAGAAAUGGGUUUUCUCUUCCACCAAUCAGAGUUUUAAAUUUGGGAAAACACGUUUCGCGACGUCGUUUAUACUAUGUAUGCGGAGUUAGAGCAUGGGUGAGCCAAGUCAGAUUGAAAAAAAAAAAAAAAUUGAUAAAAUAUUACUUAUUUUGAAUUUUCAACUAUUCAAAUCAAAGUUAACACUUGAAGUGAAUCAAUAAAGCUACAUCUACCACCACCGCCCGGCCACCAAUCUUUCCUUACACGAGAUACGAGAUUCGAGAUUGGACAGGAUAAUUCCUACUCGCCGACAUUAGACAACUCUCAAAUGGAUGAACUGGCAUUGGAUAGAGCCGUCUGAUUGGGGCAUUUUUCUGCUUCUAGGGUUUGUGUGUGGAAAUCGAACUUACUUAAAUUGUGAAGAUGUUUAAACCAAUUCGAAUUUUGUGAAAGAUAUUUCUGCUUCUAGGAUUUGUGUGUGUGGAAAUCAAACUUACUUAAAUUGUGAAGAUGUUUAAACCAAUUCGAAUUUGUGAAAAACACGUACACAUCAGCAUUCAAAGCCCCCCUCAAAUUUAGUCGGGAUAUUUCUAUUAAUCAAGAUAAUAUAUAUAAUGAUUUCCCAACAAUAGUCAUAAAACUUAUUAUAAGGAUACCAAUUCAGUCUAAAAUUUUUCAAUUUGGUUAAUUCAGUCCUAACCUUUUAUUAAGAUUUGUCAAUAGUCUAUUCGAGCAAUUUUAAAUGACGAUAGGUGGUUGUUAGCCAAAAUUGACCGAAAUUGCUAUAUUGGUAAAUCUUCAAAAGUUUAGAAUUGAAUUAACAAAUUGAAAUUUUUUGAUUGAAUUUGCAUUUAUAUAUUAAGCUUGAGACUUAAAAAGAAAAAUCUCAUGUGCAUCGGUGGAGAAUCCGAAUGCGGUGUCAUAUCUUUUCAUUUGAAAUGUCAAUGUUUGAUACGCAUGCUGUGUUAAGCUGUAUAACGACAUGAAAACCAAAGUCCGUACAUCAUAUCUGGAAAGAUUUCGAUCGGCUAAGGACAAAUACCCAGUUAUUAUCCUACAUGGGAAAUCCGCCAACCGCGCGGUGGCAAGUCAAUGAUUUCAUCUCAAGGAUUGACCACCGAGGUGGCCAGAGCAGCACCUCACAUUUGGCUUUUGUAGAAGAAGAAUCAAAGCGCUUUUCUUUUUGGUAUAUCUAUGAUGAUGAUGAUAUUAUUAUUAUUAUUAUUAUUAUUAUUAUUAUUAUUAUUAUUAUUAUUAUUAUUAUUAUUAUUGAUCUAAUUCUCACGCACUCAAUAUAAUAUUCACACAUACCACGAGGACAUCUAGAGGACCGCAUGCACAUACGUAAGGUAUUCAUUUAUUUAUUCUUGGGUUUCCACGUUGUCUCUUCCUUUUUCUCCUUUUUCUUUUUUCAUUUUUAUAUUCCUUAGAAAUUAGCAGCCCCUUUAGAAGAAGCCUCUAUUCAAGGGGAAGAAAAGGUCGUCCCGGACUCCCCCAUCAUUGAGGUUCCACUAAAAUGACCAUUAAUUCAGGUUUUAAAUUCAAAGAGAUGAUCUCAGGUACCAACUCCUAACAAAAAAAUUAAAUUGGUCUAUACCAUGGUUUUGAUAAUUCAAACAUGAAUGUUUGUCUAAGGGAGAACCAUCACUUCAACGGGUUGCUUAUUAAACUCUCUUUUGAACUUAUCGUGGAAUCAAGCUGAAUUUCAGAUGAUGACAACAAGAGCAUAUGCAGGUGCAUGGUGCUUGCAUGUAUCUUUGCGAUAUAUGGGAAAUUGGGCCAUUUGCAUGAAAAAGUUGUAGGUGCUUCUUACUUUCUUAGUUUGCUAUUGAAAGCACACGGAAAUCGAAAACCAUGGAGAAGUCUAUCAAGUGACUAAACUUGAUUAAUUUGUAGAGCAUGGCACCUGGAGUUAGGCGUAUCGUCGGUUUUGAAUUUCAACUGGUUGUUUAUUAAACUCUCUUUUGAACUUAUCGUGGAAUCAAACUGAAUUUCAGAUGAUGGCAUCAAAAACAUGUACAAGUCGCCACGCCUGCGUGUAUAUUUGCGAUAUAUGGAAAUGGAAAUCAAAAUCGGGCCACUUGCAUGGAAAAAGUUGGAAUUGCUUUUUACUUUCUUAGUUGGCUAUUGAAAGCACACGGAAAUUGAAAACUAUGGAGAAGUCCAUCAAGUGACUAACCUUGAUUAAUCUGUAGAGUUAGGCGUACCGUCGGUCUUGAAUUUUCCAUAUGCAUCGUGAUGGGGGUAUAGAUAAGGGCUUUGCCUAGUAGAGAGGGGUGCGCACGCUAAAUUUUCAGCAUUAAGCUAAAACAUUCUCCUGUGGGUGAUCUAUAGUCUACUGACGCUAGACGCUCUUCUUUUUUCUUUUUCUUUUUUUUUUUUUUUUUUUGGGUGUGAAAUUAAAAAAGAAAAAAGAAGUAAAAGAAGUAAAACUUGUUAGAAACAAUAAUUAUCAAGUUGGAAUGUAGAAAUCAUGUUCAAUGUAUUGUUACUGUGAUUUAAUAUUUGCUUCUUUUCGUUUCUAAUUUGCUAAUAACUUGACAUCCCUUCUAUAGUUAAAAAGGAUUGUGAUAGUUGCGGACGAAGACUUUUGCAUUACAUUGUUUAGGCUGUUCUUUCACAUGCAUUGCUUGUCACUAUAUAGUAAUGAUAUUUUAAAAUGAGCAAUAAACUUACAUCUUAACCCAUAUUUGAUAAGUUGAGUUAUUGCAUGGAUUAGUUAUAUUUAGUAAAUGGAUUUAAAAUAGUAAAGUCUAAGAUAAUAUGGAUAUUAAACAAACUCACAGUUUACUUAAACCAAUUCACCUCUAUGACUCUCUCUCGCCCUUACUGAUCUCGCAAUCACUCACUCCACGUCCUUACCUCAGUUUGCAUAUGAGUUUUCCUAUAUUAGGUAGAACAUGAAAGCGCUUUAACCAUAUGAAUUAGGUUAGAUAGAAAAACGCGUCGGAUCAUUAUGAGUAUCUAAAUUUGUAUUGCAUAAAAAUAAGUCAAAACAACUUAAAUUGGCCAAAUUAGGUCAAUCUAUUUUUCACUCAACCCAAACCCAACCUAAUCCACCCAUUUCACGAGUCUCUAUAAUACUAAGUAUUAGGUUUUUAUCUCUUGUUUCCAACUAUACAAUUUCUUUUUUUUUUUUCUAAAGUAUUAAAGCUCGAUGGUCAGAGUUCUAAUCCUAACCCCAACACAUACUUUUCUUCACGCGUACUUCGAUUUUUGGCAUGCCCACAUUUGUCUACCUUUUCCAUUCUUGUUGUCAUAGAAUCCUCACCAUGUCCUAAAUUGAGGAAUGAAUUAGACUGAAGAAGUAAUUUCGUAGGGAAGUCGACUCAUGCCGUUUGUUGAGAAGAUCGCCUCAAAGUAAAUGGAUUGAUUCGCUUGGAGGAAAUUAAUGUGCAGAUGUCGGUGCGUUUGACAUUUUUUUUUUUUUUUUAAAAUAUCAUUUGUAUUGAAUGACUAAAAGGUAUUUUUAUAUUUCUAUGCAAAUAUUUAAAAAUAAAUGGUUAUCGAUAAAGAAAUUACUUUGUAUUGAUUAAUUAUUUCAUAAAAUAAGCAAUUAUUUUUAAAAUAUAUAUUUUCAGAUUAUUUAUUUUUCACCAAACAAACGGAGUUUGCCUAAUUGUUCGAUUGAUGCUAUUGGUGUUUCUUUUCAAUUCAAUCGUCACGAUAGCAAUAUGAUUAGAUCUUUUUAAAGUCUGAUUCGUUUGCUUUUACGCUAGGAUUUAUAUUUCCUUAAAAGACUUUGAAACCACAUAGCGGUACCUCUCUUGCAUACAUGCUCUUGGGACCACUAUAGUUAAUGCCCAGAUGUGAAGUUGCUUUGGUCACCCCUCCCAACCCAUUUUAAUCUAAAAUAAAAUAUUGACAGAAGGAUAAUAACUCACUCAGCACAUAUCCGAACUUUUGUCCAUCUUAUUAUCAAAUAUCUCAACUUUUUAUUUAUUUGAUCAAGUACCUCAAUUAUUCAAAUUUAACUCAAUAAAAGAUCUCUAGAGAAUAAAUUGUAUUCAUUUCUGUUUUGACUUUUUCAACAACGAAAACCUCUGGCAUAUGAUAUGGCUCGAGUCCUCCACAACUCCAUUAAGCAUUGAUGGAGGAGACUCGUCGUCAAAAGGAACUGCUGAUGAAAAUUCCACUCUGAGAAAGGUACCCACGUAAUUGGAACGGCAGUAGGGAUCCCAGAAGCAAGCAUCUUCACGUACAACCCAUCAAAGCCCCCAAACUCUUCAAACAGCCUUUCAAAUUCCUGGAAUCAUGCAGAAUAACAUUAAAAACCCAAAGAAAUGAAUAAUGCAAAGAAGAAACUAUAAGUUGAAAGAUGCAGUACCUUGAUGUUGACAUGAUAUUCCUUUGUGUCCCCCCUUCAAAGCACCCCAAUCAUGUCUGAAUUGUGCACUGUCUAUAAGCUUCUUGGAUGCAGCAUAAGUUACAGCUACGAGAUCCAUUUCCCACCUAUUUUUCACAUCAUUGUACCUUGUUUUGGACCUCGGUCCAAGAGAAUCUGUUCCUUCAAAGGUGUAAAAAAAUCCAUCAAUCCAAAUUCAGGCGAAGAAGGGGCUGAACUGGAAAAAGAAAAAACAAGGGGGGGCUUUCUAGUCUUUUCAGCCGACGGAGAACCGGUUUCGGGUAGGUCGGUGGAUCCGGACCCGAUGUUUCCAGAAUAAAAAAGAAAACCCUGGAAGCCCUGGAGAAAUUGUCUCCAGUUCACACAGAUCCAGGAGAGAUGUCGACGAUGGGUCCAGAAGAGGUGACAGAAGCGGAAGGAGGAGGAGGAGAGAUGUCGAUGAGGGGUCCGGAAGAAGACAGGGAUGCGAUGAUAGCGGAGGCCAAGCGGUUCGUGGAGAACUACUACAGCACGUUCGACGCGAACAGGGAGGGCUUGGUGAACCUGUACCGGCAACGAUCGGUGCUGAAAAUCGAGGGCCGGAAGAUCCAGGGCAAGGAGGCUAUCCUCGCCAAACUCAUCUCCCUUCCGCAGCCGUGCCACCACGAAUUCCCCGAGAUCAGUUGCUGCACCUAUCGCUUGGCACCCGCAUCGGCAUCGGUCGCCGUGCGCGUCCUGGUCCGCGGCGGGACGUGGUUAGGCGGCAAGAAGGAGGAGGCGGACGCCGCCCUUAUACAGCAGGUCUCUCUCGUUCUCUCUAAGUUAUUAUUUCUUGUCAACGCUUUGCAAUUUCUCUUAUCGAUCAAUCCGUUAAUCAAUCGCAUCGCGCAUAAAUACCGAGAGUACAUCUCAAGCUCCUUGUCUAACGCUCUGGCUGGCUCUGAUUCUUAACCUUCAGAGCUUCAAUCUGGUGCCAGCACGAGGAGGAAGCUUUUACAUAGCUCGACAAUCUGGGAUGCUCUUUGAUCUCAAGAAGCCUCGGUCCGGGGGUCUGUCCUACUGGCUACCGAAACCUCCCUGCUCGGCAGCGCCCUUUCUUGGCCCGUUAUAUCAAAUCCUAUCCUCGGCAUACCCGCCGACGUCGGCUGCCACGGCACCGAGUACGCCUCCGCAUUUCGAACGCCUCAGCAUUUCGAAUCCGAAUGCCACCCAUGAUGAAACUUCCUCCGUCUCUACAGAGACCUGAUGAUAAAACUGUUUUACUUUCAAUGUUCUAGACUCUUGUUUUAUUUUCAAUGUUUUGUUGCACUACUUUUGUGAAUACGUAUUGGAUUCAUGUUCGAAUCCAAGUUCAGCAUAUGUCAUACUGCUCUUAUGAACUGAACUCAG
rnacentral:lncRNA from 1 species